rnacentral:rRNA from 1 species
UUGAUCCUGGCUCAGAAUCAACGCUGGCGGCGUGCCUAACACAUGCAAGUCGAACGCGAAAGUCCCGCAAGGGAUUAGUAGAGUGGCAAACGGGUGAGUUACACGUGGGUGACCUGCCUUCGAGUGGGGGAUAACGUCCCGAAAGGGACUCUAAUACCGCAUGACAUCCUGCCUUUGAAGAGGUGGAGCUUAAAGCUGGUGAUCGCAAGACCUGGCGCUUGAAGAGGGGCCCGCGCCUGAUUAGCUAGUUGGUGAGGUAACGGCUCACCAAGGCAUCGAUCAGUAUCCGGCCUGAGAGGUCGGACGGACACACUGGGACUGAGACACGGCCCAGAUUCCUACGGGAGGCUGCAGUGGGGAAUUGUUCGCAAUGGGCGCAAGCCUGACGACGCAACGCCGUGUGGAGGAUGAAGAUCUUCGGGUCGUAAACUCCUUUCGAUCGAGACGAAUGACUUCCGGGUGAACAGUCCGGAAGAGUGACGGUACCGAGAGAAGAAGCUCCGGCUAACUCCGUGCCAGCAGCCGCGGUAAUAAGGU